GGAAAAGAGGCAGAAUAGGAGGAGGAAAGCUUUCCCCUGGGUGGUCUCUAGAAAAAGCAUCAAAAGAGAGAAGCUCCUGGAUGUAAGGACAGCAGCCACGGGGAAAGCCAGAGAAUGGCCAGUGGGAGCAGAGCAUUUCCAAGACCGGGGAUGAACAGUGGACACCUCCAGGAAGACAGUUUAGAGCACUGGAAAUGGUGCAGAAGGCCAGCAGAAAAGCGAGUCAUUGUUCCUCCAUGGCUGGAGUGGGAGAACCAACUUCCUGGUAAUGAGACGACAUAAAUCUUCACCCUCCUU